rnacentral:rRNA from 1 species
UACGUAGGCAGCAAGCGUUGUUCGGAGUUACUGGGCGUAAAGGGUGCGUAGGCGGCUUUUUAAGUUUGGUGUGAAAUCUCCCGACUCAACUGGGAGGGUGCGCCGAAUACUGAGAGGCUAGAGUGCGGGAGAGGAAAGUGGAAUUCCUGGUGUAGCGGUGAAAUGCGUAGAUAUCAGGAGGAACACCGGUGGUGUAAACGGCUUUCUGGACCGUAACUGACGCUGAGGCACGAAAGCGUGGGUAGCAAACAGG